UUUCCAGACUCCUACGGGAGGCAGCAGUGAGGAAUAUUGGUCAAUGGGCUUACGCCUGAACCAGCCAAGUCGCGUGAGGGAAGACUGCCCUAUGGGUUGUAAACCUCUUUUGUCAGGGAGCAACGCCGGCUACGUGUAGCCGGACUGAGAGUACCUGAAGAAAAAGCAUCGGCUAACUCCGUGCCAGCAGCCGCGGUAAUACGGAGGAUGCGAGCGUUAUCCGGAUUUAUUGGGUUUAAAGGGAGCGUAGGCCGGCUUUUAAGUCAGCUGUGAAAGUCCGCGGCUCAACCGUGGAAUUGCAGUUGAAACUGGAGGCCUUGAGUGCACACAGGGAUGCCGGAAUUCAUGGUGUAGCGGUGAAAUGCUUAGAUAUCAUGAAGAACUCCGAUCGCGAAGGCAAGUGUCCGGGGUGCAACUGACGCUGAGGCUCGAAAGUGCGGGUAUCAAACAGGAUUAGAUACCCGAGUAC
rnacentral:rRNA from 1 species